rnacentral:lncRNA from 1 species
AUGCCCAGCUUUGCGCGGAGGCAGAGCACUUGCCUGUGUGGGGCCCUGCCCUUCUCUUGAGAGGCAGGCGGGCCCUAGCUGCAGCGUCAAGGUCUGGGGAUUCUGUGGCUCUGUAGGGUGAAGGGCACUGGAGACCUACCAGGGGCUGGGCCAUUGGAGUGGUGGGUGCUGGGGAGCUUCCGUGGGCCCCUCCAGGUCCACUCCUUGCUCUUCUCUGCCUUGUUUUGUGCCCAGAAGGCUGACCUGUGUGGAUGCAUUAUCAGGGUGGAUGCAACACAGGGCUGCCAUGCUCUCUGGUAUCAGUUUGGAAGGCACUGGCAGGAUGGGAAGGCAGGCGGGGAGUGAGGUCAGGGGGCCUAUCCUUCCACUGCCUCCCUGCUGCUCCCUGACUGAUUCAGAAGGACAGAAUAACGGGCUCCCAGAUUCACAAGCCCCACCAAGAGGAUCACCCCAGGAACGCUUGGAGGCUGAGGAGUUCACUGAGGCUACUGCAUCUUGAGACUCAGGAUGAAGACCCAGCUUGGGGCUGUCAAAGGUUUUUUGCAUGUCUGACACCCAUGACUCCACCUGGACCUUAUGGCUCCACCCAGAAGCAAUUCAGCCCAACAGGAGGACAGCUUCAACCCAUUACGAUUUCAUCUCUGCCCCAACCACUCAGCAGCAAGCACCUGUUACCUGUCCACCCCCACCCCUUCCCCCAAACUGCCUUUGAAAAAUCCCUAACCUAUGAGCUUUGAAUAAGAUGAGUACGAACUUCAUCGCCCACGUGGCGUGGCCGGCCUCGUGUCUAUUAAAUUCUUUUUCUACUACAA